rnacentral:rRNA from 1 species
AUUGAACGCUGGCGGCAGGCCUAACACAUGCAAGUCGAGCGGGGUUUUCGGACCUAGCGGCGGACGGGUGAGUAAUGCGUAGGAAGCUACCCGAUAGAGGGGGAUACCAGUUGGAAACGACUGUUAAUACCGCAUAAUGUCUACGGACCAAAGUGUGGGACCUUCGGGCCACAUGCUAUCGGAUGCGCCUACGUGGGAUUAGCUAGUUGGUUGGGUAAUGGCUCACCAAGGCGACGAUCCCUAGCUGGUUUGAGAGGAUGAUCAGCCACACUGGAACUGAGACACGGUCCAGACUCCUACGGGAGGCAGCAGUGGGGAAUAUUGGACAAUGGGCGCAAGCCUGAUCCAGCCAUGCCGCGUGUGUGAAGAAGGCCUUCGGGUUGUAAAGCACUUUCAGUAGGGAGGAAGGAUGUUGUGUUAAUAGCACAGCAUUUUGACGUUACCUACAGAAGAAGCACCGGCUAACUCUGUGCCAGCCGCCGCUGUAAGAC